rnacentral:rRNA from 1 species
UACGUAGGGUGCAAGCGUUGUCCGGAUUUACUGGGCGUAAAGAGCGCGCAGGCGGCUGGUCAAGUCCGAUGUGAAAUCUCCCGGCUUAACUGGGAAACUGCAUCGGAAACUGAUCGGCUUGAAGGUGGGAGAGGGUAGUGGAAUUCCCGGUGUAGUGGUGAAAUGCGUAGAUAUCGGGAGGAACACCAGUGGCGAAGGCGGGUCUCUGGACAGUUCCUGACGCUGAGGCACGAAGGUCAGGGGAGCAAACGGGG